rnacentral:rRNA from 1 species
GACGAACGCUGGCGGCGUGCUUAACACAUGCAAGUCGAACGGUGAAGGAGAGCUUGCUCUCCGGAUCAGUGGCGAACGGGUGAGUAACACGUGGGCAACCUGCCCCAGACUUCGGGAUAACGCUUCGAAAGAGGUGCUAAUACCGGAUACGAACUCCUUGGGCAUCCUUGGAGUUGGAAAGUUUUGCGGUCUGGGAUGGGCCCGCGGCCUAUCAGCUUGUUGGUGAGGUAACGGCUCACCAAGGCGACGACGGGUAGCCGGCCUGCGAGGGCGACCGGCCACACUGGGACUGAGACACGGCCCAGACUCCUACGGGAGGCAGCAGUGGGGAAUAUUGCGCAAUGGGCGAAAGCCUGACGCAGCAACGCCGCGUGAGGGAUGACGGCCUUCGGGUUGUAAACCUCUUUCAGCAGGGAAGAAGCGAAAGUGACGGUACCUGCAGAAGAAGCACCGGCUAACUACGUGCCAGCAGCCGCAGUAAAAC